UUUGAAAGAAAAUAGUUAUUAAAAUUUUAAAUUAAUAGGGUUUUAAAUAAAGUAAUUUUUUUUUAUUAAUUUGUAUGAAUAAAUAAAUAUAAUUAUAGAUUAUUAGUAUUGUGAGAGAAUUUAAAAUUUUAUGAAUAAGAAAAAUUUAUUUUUUGUACCUUGUGUCUCAGGGUUUAUUAAAUAAGAAUUUUCAAUAAAAAUUUUCUCGAAUUUAAAAGAGCUAUAAUAGUAUAAUUUUUAUUGUAGAAUAAAUAUUGUAAAUAUUAUUAUAGAAGUGAAAUGCUAUUCGAUUUUAAAUAUAUCUAGUUUUUUAAGAAAAAAAUUUAAUUUGGUUUUUAAAUUAUAAAUAAAUUUUAUGGAUAAUUUAUUUAUUUUAAGAUCUUAUAUUUUAAGGGAUGAGCUUUAAAAUAUAAAUAUAUAAUAUAUAUAGAAAUUUAUUUAAUAAAUAGGAUUAUAAGUUUCCAUUUUUAGUAGUGUUUUAAAAUUAAUUAAAAUAAGUAUUAAGAUUUUUAUUUAGAUUUAUAUUUUUUAUUAAAAUUUAAGUAUAAAUAAUUUUUAUUUAGUAAUAAUGAUAAAAUUAGUAUAAUUUUAUAUAUAUAAAUAUAAUAUAAUUUAAAGAUUAAAUAAAGGAACUCGGCAAAUCUAUUUUUCACCUGUUUAUUAAAAACAUGGCCUUUUGAAUAUAAUUUAAGGUCUAACCUGCCCAAUGAGUAUUUAAAUGGCUGCGGUAUUUUGACCGUACAAAGGUAGCAUAAUCAUUAGUUUUUUAAUUGAAAGCUUGUAUGAAAGGUUGAAUGAAAAAAUAACUGUCUCUAUUUAAAAUUAAUAGAAUUUUAUUUUUAAGUGAAAAAGCUUAAAUUUUUAUGGAAGACGAGAAGACCCUAUAGAGUUUUAUAAUUAUUUAUUUUUAAAGUUUUUAGUAUUAUAAAAUUUAUAAUAAAAAUUAUUUAGUUGGGGUGAUUGAAAAAUUAAAUGAACUUUUUUUGUAUUUAAUCAUUUAUAAAUGAAUUUUUGAUCCUUUAUUUAAGAUUAAAAGAUAAAAUUACCUUAGGGAUAACAGCGUAAUUUUUUUUAAGAGUUCUAAUCGAAAAAAAAGAUUGCGACCUCGAUGUUGGAUUAAAAUGAAUAUUUGGUGUAGCAGCUGAAAAUAUUAGGUCUGUUCGACCUUUAAAAUUUUACAUGAUCUGAGUUUAGACCGGCGUGAGCCAGGUUGGUUUCUAUCUCCAUAAAGAUAAAAUAUUUUAGUACGAAAGGACCAAGUAUUUAUUUUAAAAAUUUAAUUAUGAAUAAUAUU
rnacentral:rRNA from 1 species